rnacentral:rRNA from 1 species
UAGAGUUUGAUCCUGGCUCAGAAUGAACGCUGGCGGCGUGCUUAACACAUGCAAGUCGAACGAGAAAGUUCUCUUCGGAGGAUGAGUAGAGUGGCGAACGGGUGAGUAACACGUGGAUAAUCUGACUUCGGGAACGGGAUAACCAAUCGAAAGGCUGGCUAAAACCGUAUGAAGUUUUCGAUCAUAAGAUUGAAAAUGAAAAGGUGCCUCUGAUGUAUGCAUCUGCUUGAAGGUGAGUCCGCGUACCAUUAGCUAGCUGGUGGGGUAAGAGCCUACCAGGGCGACGAUGGUUAGCUGGUCUGAGAGGAUGAUCAGCCACACUGGAACUGAAACACGGUCCAGACUCCUACGGGAGGCAGCAGUGAGGAAUUUUGCGCAAUGGGGGGGACCCUGACGCAGCAACGCCGCGUGAGUGAAGAAGGCCCUUGGGUCGUAAAGCUCUGUCAACAGGGAAGAAGUUAUCAUGCAUGAAUAAUGUAUGGUAUUGACGGUACCUGUGGAGGAAGCACCGGCUAACUCCGUGCCAGCAGCCGCGGUAACACGGGGGGUGCAAGCGUUAUUCGGAAUUAUUGGGCGUAAAGUGCGCGCAGGCGGUCUUGCCGGUCAGGUGUGAAGCCCGGGGCUCAACUCCGGAAGAGCAUUUGAACAGCAAGACUUGAGUACAGGAGAGGAAAGCGGAAUUCCUGGUGUAGAGGUGAAAUUCGUAGAUAUCAGAGGAACACUCAUGGCGAAAGCAGCUUUCUGGACUGAUACUGACGCUGAGGCGCGAAGGUGUGGGUAGCGAACAGGAUUAGAUACCCUGGUAGUCCACACAGUAAACGAUGUUCACUAGGUGUAGCGGGUAUUAAAACCUGCUGUGCCGGAGCUAACGCAUUAAGUGAACCGCCUGGGGACUACGGCCGCAAGGCUGAAACUCAAAGGAAUUGACGGGGGCCCGCACAAGCGGUGGAGCAUGUGGUUUAAUUCGACGCAACGCGAAGAACCUUACCUGAGCUUGACAUGCACGGGACCGCCCUGGAAUCAGGGUUUCUCUUCGGAGUCCGUGUACAGGUGCUGCAUGGCUGUCGUCAGCUCGUGUCGUGAGAUGUUGGGUUAAGUCCCGCAACGAGCGCAACCCUUACCUUUAGUUGCCAUCGGGUCAUGCCGGGAACUCUAAAGGGACUGCCGGUGAUAAACCGGAGGAAGGUGGGGAUGACGUCAAGUCCUCAUGGCCUUUAUGCUCAGGGCUACACACGUGCUACAAUGGCCGGUACAAAGAGUCGCAAGACCGCGAGGUGGAGCUAAUCUCAUAAAACCGGUCUCAGUUCGGAUUGGAGUCUGCAACUCGACUCCAUGAAGUUGGAAUCGCUAGUAAUCGUGGAUCAGCAUGCCACGGUGAAUACGUUCCCGGGCCUUGUACACACCGCCCGUCACACCACGAAAGCCGAAUGUACCAGAAGUCAUAAUGCUAACCUUCGGGAGGCUAGUGCCUAAGGUGUGUUUGGUGAUCAGGGUGAAGUCGUAACAAGGUA